GACUACUCGGGUAUCUAAGCCUGUUCGCUACCCAUGCUUUCGAGCCUCAGCGUCAGUUACAGACCAGACAGCCGCCUUCGCCACUGGUGUUCUUCCAUAUAUCUACGCAUUUCACCGCUACACAUGGAGUUCCACUGUCCUCUUCUGCACUCAAGUCUCCCAGUUUCCGAUGCACUUCUCCGGUUAAGCCGAAGGCUUUCACAUCAGACUUAAGAAACCGCCUGCGCUCGCUUUACGCCCAAUAAAUCCGGACAACGCUUGCCACCUACGUAUUACCGCGGCUGCUGGCACGUAGUUAGCCGUGGCUUUCUGGUUAAAUACCGUCAACACCUGAACAGUUACUCUCAGAUGUGUUCUUCUUCAACAACAGAGUUUUACGAGCCGAAACCCUUCUUCACUCACGCGGCGUUGCUCCAUCAGACUUUCGUCCAUUGUGGAAGAUUCCCUACUGCAGCCCCCCGUAGG
rnacentral:rRNA from 1 species